UACCUUGUUAAGUUAUUGGAAAAGGGCUGGGGAUGUGGCUCAGGCGGUGGCACGCUUGCCUGGCAUGCGUGCGGCCCGGGUUCCAUCCUCAGCACCACAUACAGACAAAGAUGUGUGUCCGCCAAAUACUAAAAAAUAAAUAUUAAAAAAAUUCUCUCUCUCUCUCUCCCUCUCUCUUUCUUUAAAAAAAAAAAAAAAAAGUUAUUGGAAAAAUGAGAAUCUGAUAGAAGGAAGGAACCAGAAUAGUAAAAAGUGAAAUGGAAGAAGGCCUAACCUCUUCAAGGAGCUUGCCUUGAAAUGCCUCAAAUACUGGAGCCUGGCAUUGACCCAAUGGAACACCUGUGCUCUGAUAGGGUCUGAUUUUCCUUCUAGGGAAGUCAGUUAUCCACACUCCAGAUAGAAGUGAUUCCUUUGACUGUUAAGCCUGAACCACACUCUUUGUUCUGGGGUGGCUUCUGCAGCAUUUAGAAAUAUUUUAAAAUAAUACACAGGAAACUGACCUGAAAGAAUACUUGGGAGAGACAACCCUCUUGAUGAAUUUAACAGGACAGUUUAAUCCUCAAACCAGAAGUUAACAGAAUGACAACAGGACAUACACUGGCCCCGAUUUAGAGAAGUUAGUGGAAACUCCACUUUCUCAGGCCUCAUCCACUCAAAGCCAGCUUGACAGUUUCUCUUCCUGACCUGACUCCACCCCUAACUGUCAAGCUCCUUCCCUUUCUGUCUGUGAACUCAGCUUACCCUCCUAACCCUGAGAACAUCCCAUUCCUCAAGGCUAGGAUGCUGAUGGCCCCAAGAAGGACCUGAAGACUAGUCUUCAAGAUGAAGAAGGAAUCCCGAGGACAUUUCAAAGAUUUCAUGAUGAUGAUUACAGUAUGAAUCUGUCCUAGGGAUAUAUGAGUGGAAGGGAAGGCCGGGGGCACCCACCAGGACACUGGCUUAGAGGUUCCUGACCUGAAGCCAGGAGUGACUUUCCUCAUCCACUGCCACCCACCUCAAAAAUCAUCCACAAAAUCGUCUUUGUAUAUGCAUUUGAUGGGAAGAGCAAUCAGGGCUUUCACCAACCACUGAAAUGAGCUCAGCAAUUCAGUAAAGUUGAAGAAAGAAACACUGGCACCAACCCCCCAUGCUCCCUCCAUGUUUAUGAACUGCCAAUCCCCCACCACUGUCCCUCACCGUCUCCCACCCACCCUGACCCAGGCCCAGACAAAAACAGGUUCCUGUACCAGCCCUCAGGACACAUCGUGAAU
rnacentral:lncRNA from 1 species